rnacentral:lncRNA from 1 species
CAGAGAGCUGUCGGUGGAAUUUGUCCCUACCUUAUCCUCUCACCGAGUCGCCCAUCGACCACCGCUCGUUCCCCUCCCGAUUUUCUUCGCUUUUUCUCCGUCCCCUCCAUCAGCGCCUCCCUCCCACCCGCAUCUUCUUCCACCUCCUCCCAUCCAUCCGAGCUCCUUCCCUUCCACCUCCCAUCCGUCGACGCCAACGCCGGCGGUGCGGCGGCCAACCUGGCCCAUGCGCUGCCGCCACCGGUGCCCAACCUGGCCCGUGCGGUGGGGGCACCGCCGGGGAAGCGAAUCGAGGUGGUGUGGGAGCGGGAGAACACGCUGCUCUCGUUCGGCCGGGCCGCCGCGCACACCGCCGUCGCCUUCGUCGAGUUCAACGUCCAGCCAUCCAGUGACAAGCAAAUCAGGAGGGCCGCGCCAGCUCGGAGUGCAUCCUCGCUUGGGAGUACAAUGUUGCACGAUUGGCUUCGGGCUAUUUCAGAGUAUGAGAAGCCAAGCAUCGACAUGGCAACCAUCGAGAAGGCAUGGGCCGAUGAGAAAAAGGCAAUCGCUGAUGCGGACUAUGAGGGAAAUCCAAGCAAGGUGAACACAAGCUCCGAGAAGAAGGCAUGUGUCGACGAGGGGAAGUCAAUCUCCGAUGCAGAAACUGAUGAUGAGGGCGUCGGUGUGCCUGAGAAGAAGGCAUGCAUCGCCGAGGGAAAGUCAAUCUCCGACGCAGAGACUGAUGAUGAGGGCGUCGGUGUGCCUCAGAAUUUACAGAUGAAAGAUUUGCACGAUAUCAUGUUUCCUACCUGCUGAAUGUGAUUGUGUUGUGGUAUUUUAUUGUGGAAAUGCACAAUGGACGUAGGAGUACUUAGUGCAAUAUGGAUGUAGGACUACCAUGUUUAUAAGUGUACAAAUUACCGUAGUGUUCCAUAUGGUUGCCAGACUAGUACGAAGUAUUUUGUUAUGAAAUUAGUGCUGAAUUAAAUAUAGAAUCACAUAUUGCU